rnacentral:lncRNA from 1 species
AUUCAUUUGGGAACCAAUUGAUAUUACACCUUGAAGCUCUGAAGCUCUGAAGCUCUGAAACUCCGAAGCUCUCAAGCAUCCAGGUUCCCGAAGAAUCAAGAAAGUGUUCUUCGUUCUUCGUUCAUCGUUCUUCCAAGAUCAAGCCUCGACGGCCCUUGGAUCAACAAUCAUCCACCUUCAAGAUCAAGCCCCGACGGCCCUUGAAGAAAGCGUUCUUCGUUCUUCGUUCAUCGUUCUUCCAAGAUCAAGCCUCGACGGCCCUUGGAUCAACAAUCAUCCACCUUCAAGAUCAAGCCCCGACGGCCCUUGAAGAAAGCGUUCUUCGUUCUUCGUUCAUCGUUCUUCCAAGAUCAAGCCCCAACGGCCCUUUGGAUCAACAAUCAUCCACCAAUUCAAGAUCAAGCCCCGACGGCCCUUGAAGAAAGCACCAUCGUUCAUCAUCCGUUCAUCCAAGAUCAAGCCCCAACGGCCCUUUGGAUCAACAACGUCGACAAAAUCCACACAUCCAACCGUUCUUCAAGAUCAAGCCCAAAAGCCCUUGAAGAUCCGUUCAUCACUGUUCUUCAAGAUCAAGCCCAAAAGCCCUUGGAGAUCCGUUCAUCACUGUUCUUCAAAGAUCAAGCCCAAAAGCCCUUGAAGAUCCGCUCAAAUCCACCUUCAAAGAUCAAGCCCACGGCCCUUUGAAGAAACUUCCAACUGUUCAUCCAAGAUUAAGCCUCGACGGCCCUUGGAUCAACGAAACACCCACCAAUCAACACACCUUACGGAGAUCGAAUCAGAGGAUCAAAUUUGAGAGAGAUUGUAACCCAAAAUCAUCAAAUACUUAAUAUUUGUUUGUGCGCGUCGUUUCUUGUCUCUUUCGUUUCAGGAAUUUUUCCGUGUUCACAAAUUGGCACGCCCAGUGGGACAAUCUCUGCCUCAUCUCUUUUCUCCGUUCAAGAAAUUCAAGCGCGCUUCCAAAAUUAAUGGCAUCAAGGAAGGCUCAAACUGUUCCCGCAACCGGCGCAAAGAACAAAAGCGUCCUCGUCGCAACUGGUGUCACUUUGGGCAUCACGACUCGAAGCAUAGCAAGAGCUACUUCUGCCGCCUCUUUCACCUCUGCAUCAACUCUGCCAAGGGAACAAAAGCACCCAAGGCACGAGCCUUUGAUCACCUUAGCCUCACUAAGGGCACCAAGGGGGAAAAGCCCAAGGAAAUACUCCGAAUCCAUGCUCUCCGAUGCCGGUUCAAGCGACAGUUCAGCCAUGCAAGUCAUGACCAUUGGAGCAACUUCAAUCGAUGAGCAGCUGGCUCAAAUGAAUGAAGCAAUCGCAAGGCUAACCCGAAUUGUGGAAGAAAAAGACUUGCAAAUUGCAGCACUAGUCAACCGAUUGGAGGCACAAGACGGCGAUAUAAACCCGACCCAGAGGAUGAUCCACUAAAGGGAGGAGCUGGCGGAGACGAAGAACCCCCGGUGAAGAAAAUCAAUGGGAAGCCCGAGCCAGACCAAGCAGCGGCACUCAUGGGAUCUCUUUCUAUCCAGCAGCUGCAAAAGAUGAUCACCAACACCAUCAAGGCACAGUACGAAGGGAGCUCAAAUACCUCCGGGUUGUACUCAAAGCCGUAUUCAAAGAAGAUCGACGCCUUAAGGAUGCCGAGGGGUUAUCAACCACCAAAAGUUCAUGCAAUUUGAUGGAAAGGGAAACCCAAAACAGCACAUUGCCUACUUCGUUGAAACUUGCAACAACAACGCAGGAACCGAAGGGGACUACCUCGCCAAGCAGUUUGUGCGCUCGCUAAAAGGAAACGCCUUUGAAUGGUACACGGACCUAGAGCCUGAGUCCAUCAACAGUUGGGAGCAAUUGGAGCGGGAAUUCCUCAACCGCUUCUACAGCACUCGCCGCCGCACUGUGAGCAUGCUAGAGCUAACAAGCACAAAGCAGUGGAAGGACGAACCAGUCAUUGACUACAUCAACAGAUGGCGCACUCUUUAAGCCUCGACUGCAAAGACAGGCUCUCGGAAACCUCUUCAAUCGAGAUGUGCAUCCAAGGCAUGCAAUGGGGUUUGCAAUACAUCCUUCAAGGCAUUAAACCGCGGACCUUCGAGGAAUUGGCCACUCGCGCCCAUGACAUGGAGUUGAGCAUCGCCCAUCAUGGGAAGAAAGAACCGAUCGCCGACUACAAGAACGACAAAGCUCUUGGGACAAAGGUGGAAAAGGCUGCAUGGAAACCCACCAAGGAAGCGAUGACGGUCAACACAUCUCCCGUCAAAAUAUCCACACGAGGCAAGGCGAUUCAAACCGAAGCUUUUCGUGAUCAAGAGACGCGUAGACGCACUUUGAAGGAGCUUGAGGAGAAGACUUAUCCAUUCCCCGACUCUGAUGUGGUUGCCAUGCUAGAUGACCUAUUGGACAAGAAGGUGAUCAGUUUGCCUGAGUGCAGACGGCCGGAAGAGAUGAAUCGUACUGACAGUCCAAGAUACUGUAAAUUCCACCGCUUCAUCAGUCAUCCGACAGAAAAGUGUUUCGUGCUGAAAGAUCUCAUCAUGAAGCUGGCUCAGAAAGGAAUCAUCGAGCUAGAUCUUGACGAUGUGGGGGAGUCAAACUGUACCACCUUCACUUCUGGCUCUUCCGACUCAAAGGUUUCACCUCAACCGUUGGGGGCAUCCUCCAAGACAAGCAAAGUAGAAGGAUGGACUCAAGUCACUCCUAAGAAAUUGCACAAGAAACAUAUGUCUCCUCCACAAGUCCGCCAAUCGGAAAGGGGGCAAAGCAGCUCUUGUCAACCUUCAAAGCAACGUGAACGUGUUGAAGAUGAUGAAAUUUCGACACAUAGACUGUCCAUCCCCAUCACGAUGCGCGACUUCUUGCCCGAAAACUUCUUCAAACACACGGUCAAAGCUCCUUGCUAUGAAGAUUGCGAGGAACGACUUUCUCAGAUCGCUUGACGAACCAACCAAUGCUCCUUGUUCGCACGAGCCUAAAACUGCACGAACCAAAGCUCCUGGUCUGCACGAGCAUAAAAGGCAACACCAAAGCUCCUGGUCUGCACGAGCAUAAAAGGCAACACCAACGCUCCUGGUCUGCACGAGCCUAAAAGGCGACAACCCAAAGCUCCUUGUCUGCACGAGCUGAAACUACAACACGGCACCAAAUGCUCCUUGCCUGCACGAGCUGAAACUGCAACACGGCACCAAAUGCUCUUUGUUCGCACGAGCCUAAAACUGCACGAACCAAAGCUCCUGGUCUGCACGAGCAUAAAAGGCAACACCAAAGCUCCUGGUCUGCACGAGCCUAAAAGGCGACAACCCAAAGCUCCUUGUCUGCACGAGCUGAAACUGCAAACGGCACAAAAAAAAAGAAAAUACCAAAAAAAAAAUAUAUAUAUGUAUGUAUUUGAACUACGUUUUGACUUGAUCUCUUUCUUUGGAAGGGUACGUAGGUAGCUUGAAUAUUCAAUUACAAGUUCAGUCACAUCAAAAUAAAAAAUAAAUGCUUUAUUAAAUAGAGUCAAUUUUAUUUAAAAAAAAAUGAAUACAUAUGUUAUUAUGUAUUUAAAAAAAAAGAAACGUAUGUUAUUAUGUAAAAAAAAUAAUUAAAAAAAAAAAAAAAAAGAGAUACAUGUUUUAUGUAUUUACAAAAAAAAAAAGAAGAAAAAAAACAUAUGUUUUAUGUAUUAAUAUAUAUAUAUAUAUAUAUAUAUAUAUAUAUAUAAAGGGCCUCAGAAGCAGCCCGUGUCCAAAACCAGAUCAACCCAGGCUCGGCUGUCAAAGCCCAAGUCUCUCGCAGCUCUUUCUCCCUAGCGAGCUCAGCUCUCAUCCUCACUCGGCCCUAAGCCUCGUCUCCACCAAUAGAAAGGGAGUAAGAGCCCGGGCCUCCUUUUAUUUCACAGGCCCAGAUGCCAAGACCAAACCCGGCAAGAAGCCCAAAAGACCUUGCCAUCUUCCUCCCUGUCAGGAUCCGACAUUAAAGUCACCGUCGAUCUCUCCUGAUCAUCGUCAAUAGCUGCAAUACCACCUCAGCAGAUUUCGGUCAUGGCAUCAAAGCUCUGCGACUCUUGCCAAUCGGCGACGGCGACUCUGUACUGCCGCACCGACUCCGCCUUCCUCUGCGUCAACUGCAACUCCAAGAUCCACGCGGCCUCGUGGCUGCUCCCGAACCCCAAGGCGGUGGAAAAUCCAGAUCUGAACUCGGGGCAGUGCUUGUUCCAGGAAAUGGAUCCGUAUCUGGAUCUGGACUACGGGCUUUGGAUCCGAAACUUGAAGAAGCUCAGGAGCAGAACAGCUGCGGCGCGGACGGCGUCGUUCUGGUGCAGAGCAGGAACAUGCAGCCUCUGCUAGUUAACGACCACAGCUUCGAACUUGACUUCUCCGCCGACGCAACCCGAUUCCGGCAACCGCUUCUGGGGCCGAACCUUCUGCUCCCACGACUCUGUCGGAAAAUUCUCCUGCCUCACAGCCGACUGCAGCUCAGGAAAAUUGGAGUGCUCAGGCAACGGAGCCACCCCGCCCGCCACUCUCGCUGAAUUCACACUCGACGGCUCCGGCGGGCUUGAUUUCUACGCCGUCAGAACCACCGUCAGAGACCCAGUACGACUCCAAGCCUUGCCUCCUCUCUCACUCAGUCUCUCUGCAACUACAAGACAGAAUCUAAGUGCGAUGGCUACCGUUCCGGGACAACUGAUCUGGAAGAUUGCAAUGAAGAACAACUAAUUCCUAACAAAGGAGUUCGGCAGAGGCUCAAAGAAGACACCAGCAGCAAGCGAUUCUUCAAAGCGCUCCGAGAUCGAGCAGAAGCAAAUCCAGAAGCGCUAAGCCACCGCUGCAUCUUCCUCCGCCAACACAUCAUCCACUACGCCACGUCGUGCCAUCUCCACAGUCAUCCUCUUCUCCAUCGUCAUGUUCUCCAUCCAAACUACAUGGCACCGCCGCCAUCGCUGCAGCUACGACAGCCAACGUGUCAGCCUCUCCGGCAGUGCACGUCGCGUUUUCAAAUCUGGUUUUCUGGCGGGUUCGGAUCUGUCAGUAACCCCAUGCCCAUCUCAUCAUUCUCCUGCCCUUUGGAUCAUCUUCCCCGCUCUCCGCCGUUGAGAAACUCCUCCAUUGAAGAAGCAGCAGCCAUGCCGUUGCAGGAGUACGUGGACAGGAUGCGGUAAAUCUCUGGCACUCCAACCUCUCGCCAACUCCGACCGCGAUCCACCAGGCGAUGCAGCUGGGCACACCAAUCCACACCAUUGUCAAAAUGGAACGAGGAUCCUCUCUGCCUUCUCUCCGCCGUCUCUGCGACAUCCAGUUCGACAUGACAUAGGUGACGUGGAUGGUAGCGCCGUUCUUGAACUUCGAGGGUUGAAGCCGUUAAAGCUCAAUGGUUGUUGAAGCUCGGGUCUUGCUCAUCAUCCACGUUCUUCCCCAUGAACACGCUCAGCCCAAGUCACCAUCUCCUCCACCAUCGAGGUCGUCCCUACCUUGCCUCCGCUCAGUUCGAGGGUCUUGGGUUCGAAGUCCUUCUUUGCCUCGCUACUGUACCGUGGGACUUGGAUUGCAUCCCUCUCCUCCUCGACACUGUCACUCACUCAACCUCCCGAUCGCUGCGAUCUCAUUCCAAAUCGCGAGGAACACCCUUUGGUCCAAAUCCUGGGGCUGAGACCAUCCGACCCGGAAAAGACCUUGCGGGUCGCGAGAACUGCUUUGAAGAGAGCCCCCGCUGCUCCAGCUUCUGUGCAUGCUUCAUCCGUCAUCCUCGCCUGCUCUUUGUAAGCUUCCACCCCCGCGGCAGAUGGUCGCCCUUCAUCCCAUGCAGCGAACAUACAUAUAUAUAUAUAUAUGUAUAUGUAUGUAUGUAUAAUAAUAUUUAAAAAAAUUAAUAAUAAUAAUUAUAAAAAAAAAAAAAAAAAAUGGUGCGGUAUGAGUGGUGGUGAGUGUGAGCACCACAGAAAGCAAAAAAAUAUAUAUAUAAUAAUAAUUUUUUUUUUUUUUAAAUGAUGACAGGAAUCAUUGAUUGAAGGAUGGUGGUGUGGUAUGAGUGGUGGUGAGUGUGAGCACCACCGAAAGCAAAGAAGAAAAUAUAAUAAAAAAAAAAAUUUUGAUUUGGUAUGUGUGAGUACCACCGAAAAAAAAAAAGGGUUUUAUCUUUGGUGCGUCUGGCACCAUGAUUAAAGAAAAAAAAUGUUUGAUGUUUGGUGCUCUGCAACCAUAAAAAAAUAAAAAAUAAAUAAAAAAUGGGUGCACAAUGAUUAAAAAUAUAUAUAUACAUAUAUAAUAAAAAGACGGUGCAUUACGCACCAUCUGCAAAAAAAAAAAAAAAAAAAAAAAAAAAAAAGAAAAAAGUUUCUUUAUGCUUUUGGCACUAAAUAAAUAAAUAUAUAUAUAUACACACACAAAGAAUGAAAUAAGGCUCAUCUAUUGAUUUCUUUGAAAAUUUACAAAAAAAUGUACAUUUUACAUCAGUACAAAAAAAAAAAAAAAAAAAAAGUCAAAUCAAAUUUACAGGAGGGGAUCUUCAAGGAUGAUCAGGUGGCGCCUUAUCACUCGGCGAAACUCCAGGAAGAAGAGGAGCCGGAGGUUGAUCAUCUGGAGCUUCAUUACGCGGGACAGCCCCAGAAGACGAAGGCAAAUGCUGCUGGAACAAACCCACAAACCUCUGAUGAUCAAGUAAAAUUUGACCAUCAGAUUCCUGCAUCUGGUUAAUCUUCCUCUUCAUGUUUGUCGCAUAGCUAUGUGCGAGCUUAUGCAACUGUUUAUUCUCCUGCUUAAGCCCUCUAAUCUCCUGUUUGAGACUCAUCACUUCCGCCGCCAAUGAUUCAACUUGACAGGUUCGAGCAAAUAGGCGUUGGGCCAUAUUAGACACAGAACCUGCACACUGCACACUGAGAGCCAGAGAAUCCUUAACAGCCAACUCAUCAGACCGUUUGGAAAGUAGUCUGUUAUCUCUGGGAGUGACAAGGUUUCGGGCCACCACCGCAGCAGUCAUAUCAUUCUUCACCACUGAAUCCCCAACGGUAAGAGGACCAGUGGGGGAUAUGAAGGAUGGGCGCCAUAUGUUGUCUGGAGAAGAAGGGACUGCCUCUUCACCAAGAUUCAAGUCAAAACGACGAUCGGAUGGGCCAGACAUUUUCAAAGGUGUUAAAGAAAGAAGAGGUCGGACAAAUCGAGAUCUUAGAAGUGCAAGAAGGUACAAGCAAAAAUUCAAGUGUGCUUUGAAAUGAACUGCCUGCCUCUAUAAAAAAUCAGCACUCGACGGGAUUUCAGAGAUCGAAGAGGCGAGCUCUGAAUUCGAAGAGGCCAUUCAAAAAUCGAAGAGGCAAGCUCAGAAAUCGGAGAAGCAUCUUGCUUUUCCAGACACGUCGGCACCUGUCACACGCAAACUCAGCUUUGGAAAUCACGGGUAAUUUGUCGAAGCGCCGAUCCCAGAUAUCGAAGAGGCGCUAGUCUUUUUCAGCCGCAUCAUCACCUGUCAUAUGCACACUCAACUUUGCGCAAAUCACGGGCAAUUUGUCGAAGAUUUUCGGUGAAGGAGAAAGCACGUGAAAGUUUACUGUUCAAUCACGCGUUAGUUGCCGACACAAGUGAAAGAAUAGUACCUCUACAGGUAUUAAGGGACCUCCUAUAACUGUCCACCUUCACCUUCCAUAGCGAGGCAGACAUACAGAACCUUUCUUCAUCUCCGAGAAUGCCUUCCCAACGAAGCCUCUCGAGUCACUUAGUGUUCCUUAUUCCUUGGGGUACCUCUGUAAGCCAAUAACUUCAAAGCAAAAGUAUCUCAUAUCACCAGGGUAGAAAGCAAGAGUAUCUCAUAUCAUGCGUUCUCCCUGUCGUUUCCUUUGUCCUUGCUCCUACCUACAAAGACAAGGAUAAAGAAAACAAUAUGCCGGAACUUCCACUCAAACUCGGGUAAGGAACCGACUGCUUGGAACCCUUCCCUGAUUGCCUGCCUAGCACUGCUCUCGAGUACUCGUCUCCCACUGCUGCUGUACUUCCAUAGAAGCUGUCACAUCUGCCUGGAGAACAGAUAAGGCAAGUGAAAAUGAUACCUUGCAGCAUGUGGAGACAACGUGCUGAAGAAACAAGCAGAGAAGAAUGCGGCCUGCACAGUCAACUCAGCAGAAGGAGUCCGAGCUGAAGAACUCGAGAAGAUGCCACAUCUGCCUGGAGAACAAAUAAGGAAAUGCGGCAUGCACAAUCAACUCAGCAGAAGGAGUCUGAACUGAGAAACUCGAGCACAUGCCACAUUCUGCCAGAAGAAUAGAUAAGGCAAGGGAAAUGAUACAUUGAAGCAUGUGGAGACAAGCAUAAAGCACGUGCCGAUUCAUCCGCUACUUCUUCAAAAUCAAAAGUAUCUCAUAUCAUCAAAGUUGCAAUCACUCUGUGUGAAGGACUCGUUUUGACCCUCAAAUUCUUGGGUCGACUUACUAGGCGUUGUGAGCUGCACGUGUCGAUUCACCACCCUUGAAUCGAAUCCUUAAAGAUCAAGUCACCGACUGGAAGAAAAGCCCAUCAAUCUUGAAGAUCAUACCGUUGACCAAACUGCUCAGGUGUGAAUUAGAAAGAUUGAACAAAGAAACAGGUUGUCACCUUUACCUCGUGCCUGCUUGCCAUGUGUUCGAGUCAACCUUCAAGAAUCAAGCCUCAACGGCCCUUGAAGAAGUUUCCAGCCAAAUUCAAGAUCAAGCCUCGACGGCCCUUGAGGAAAUCACAAGUCCGAUUCAAGACUAAGUGUCUACCACCCUUGAAUCAAAACCUAGUUCCAGAAUAAGCUGUGGAAAAUCAACAAUUGGAGGAAUCUAGAAAAAAAACCUCCAACCCAGUUCAAGAUCAAAGCUGUGGAAGGUCAACAAGCGCAACAAAAUACGUGCCGAUUCGUCCACUACCAAAGCAAAAAAUCAUCUACCACAUGAAGCUCCUUGUGGUCCAAUUUCAACCUUCAAGAUCAAGUCUCGACGGCCCUUGAAGAAAUUUCAAACAAAAGUUCAAGAACAAGCCUCAACGGCCCUUGAAAAAAUCUCAAGCCCAAUUCAAGAUCAAGCCUCAACGGCCCUUGAAGAAAUCUCCAGCCCAAUUCAAGAUCAAGCCUCGACGGCCCUUGGAUCGACAUCUACAGUAAGGGACUUCAAAACGCAUCUCCUACACGUGACAAGCACAUGUAUACGACGUGCCUUGAAGUGGGGGCAUUUGUAGACAUCGAAAUUUCGGUAAAUAAAUGUUGACCGAUAAAUCAAAGUGUCAACGCUCAUGUAUUACAUAAAUUUUACAUGUAGCAUGUGACUCAACGAAAAUUGAAAUGAGUUGGAAAAGUCAUCAAAUAGGACACGUGUCAAUACCUGGCAGAAACGACUUAUUUCAUCUGGAAUAUUAUAUUCAAAAUUAGGCCUUGGAAAAUUCUAUAAAUACAAGCCCAAUUUCAUUCAUUUGGGAACCAAUUGAUAUUACACCUUGAAGCUCUGAAGCUCUGAAGCUCUGAAACUCCGAAGCUCUCAAGCAUCCAGGUUCCCGAAGAAUCAAGAAAGUGUUCUUCGUUCUUCGUUCAUCGUUCUUCCAAGAUCAAGACUCGACGGCCCUUGGAUCAACAAUCAUCCACCUUCAAGAUCAAGCCCCGACGGCCCUUGAAGAAAGCGUUCUUCGUUCUUCGUUCAUUGUUCUUCCAAGAUCAAGCCUCGACGGCCCUUGGAUCAACAAUCAUCCACCUUCAAGAUCAAGCCCCGACGGCCCUUGAAGAAAGCGUUCUUCGUUCUUCGUUCAUCGUUCUUCCAAGAUCAAGCCCCAACGGCCCUUUGGAUCAACAAUCAUCCACCAAUUCAAGAUCAAGCCCCGACGGCCCUUGAAGAAAGCACCAUCGUUCAUCAUCCGUUCAUCCAAGAUCAAGCCCCAACGGCCCUUUGGAUCAACAACGUCGACAAAAUCCACACAUCCAACCGUUCUUCAAGAUCAAGCCCAAAAGCCCUUGAAGAUCCGUUCAUCACUGUUCUUCAAGAUCAAGCCCAAAAGCCCUUGGAGAUCCGUUCAUCACUGUUCUUCAAAGAUCAAGCCCAAAAGCCCUUGAAGAUCCGCUCAAAUCCACCUUCAAAGAUCAAGCCCACGGCCCUUUGAAGAAACUUCCAACUGUUCAUCCAAGAUUAAGCCUCGACGGCCCUUGGAUCAACGAAACACCCACCAAUCAACACCUUACGGAGAUCGAAUCAGAGGAUCAAAUUUGAGAGAGAUUGUAACCCAAAAUCAUCAAAUACUUAAUAUUUGUUUGUGCGCGUCGUUUCUUGUCUCUUUCGUUUCAGGAAUUUUCCGUGUUCACAAUUACACGAUUCACAUUUUUAGACACAAAUGUAUUAAAUGUUUGCAGUUAAGAGUUUAAGAUUGAGAGAGAAGAACAAUAAAACUUGAUUGACGAGUAUAAUAAAUUCAACGCCAAUUGUUUCUCUUGUGUUUUUUUUCUUCUUCUAAAAUCAACAUCAAACUAACGAAUUAAAUAUUAAAAUAAUUCAUUAAAUAAAAAAUUAAUGAAAAAAUAUAUAUAAAUUCAAAGUUUUAAUUACCUUAAAGUACAAUCUUUAAGACCAUAUGAUAAUUGGUUUAAACAUUCAAUAGAAAUGGAGAGAAUGAGAAGUUGGUUUAAACAUUCGAUAUAAAUGGAGAGAAUGAGAAGUUGAAAGAAAAAGAUUACAAGGAGACUUGAGUUUUAUAACUUUAUAUGCAUUUGGACAGAUGGAUUGUGUAACAUCCCACAUCGCCUAUGGGAGUGGAUCUUGUAAGCCUUAUAUGUAUAUUCCCACAUCUUCCUAGCACGAGGCCUUUUGGGAGCUCACUGGCUUCGGGUUCCAUUGGAACUCCGAAGUUAAG